UAAUUCCAAGUCCUGCGGGAGAGUCACCGGCUAUUUGCCAUGCCCCAGAUGGAAACUCCAGGAGGCGGGAAUCUAGAUCCGGGGACCGGCACCUAGCCCCCAUGGCUGCCAUUAGAAUCCCCACCACCCUUCGUGACACAGAGGAGGGACUCAAUCCACGUUUGCUGACGAAAUCAACGUACCCACACGCUAACAAGACGUGCUGCACGCUGCUUUGGGGGCUCGAGGAAGAACGAUUACGUUUUUGUUCCCAACCCGGAGAACAUCCCGCUAGAAGCCCGGCUGCCCGCACCUUAGAAGGAUCCGCCACAACGUCUGUGCAGAGACCUCCUCACGCUUGCACCGGUUGGGCUCACGACCCA